rnacentral:rRNA from 1 species
CAGCCGCGCGGUAAUACGAAGGGUGCAAGCGUUACUCGGAAUUACUGGGCGUAAAGCGUGCGUAGGUGGUGGUUUAAGUCCGUUGUGAAAGCCCUGGGCUCAACCUGGGAAUUGCAGUGGAUACUGGGUCACUAGAGUGUGGUAGAGGAUAGUGGAAUUUCCGGUGUAGCAGUGAAAUGCGUAGAGAUCGGAAGGAACAUCUGUGGCGAAGGCGACUAUCUGGGCCAACACUGACACUGAGGCACGAAAGCGUGGGGAGCAAACAGGAUUAGAUACCCCAGUAGUCCCUGUCUCUUAUACA